AUGUUUUGCUGUGCUGCGGGAUACUUUUCUCUGGUACAAACAUUGCCAAAGCCCUCCGAAUGCUGAAAAUUAUGGGAGUCCCAGCACUCAGGAGGUCCCAGUUCUACAAAACGCAGCAAUGUUAUUUGUUUCCUGCAGUAAACAAUGUAUACGAGACGAAGCAGCAACAACUGCUGGAGGAGCUGCGCCCAGUGCCUUUAACACUUGCUGGUGAUGGGAGGUGUGAUUCUCCGGGUCACACGGCUCUCUAUGGCACGUAUACAUUACUGGAGACCACUGCCAAUCGCAUUGUACAUUUCGAGUUAGUCAAGGUCACAGAGGUGACAAGCAGCAACGCCAUGGAAAAGCAUGGGCUACAAAG